AAACCAGCACCUCAAGUGGUCAGGAGGAUUAUUGGGCCUAAAGCAUCCGUAGCCUGUUCUAUAAGUUUCCGGUUAAAUCCACUAGCUCAACUAAUGGGCUGCCGAAAAUACUGUAGAACUAGGGAGUGGGAGAGGUAGACGGUAUUCGGUAGGAAGGGGUAAAAUCCUUUGAUCUAUUGAUGACCACCUGUGGCGAAGGCGGUCUACCAGAACACGUUCGACGGUGAGGGAUGAAAGCUGGGGGAGCAAACCGGAUUAGAUACCCGGGUAGUCC
rnacentral:rRNA from 1 species